UUAGGGCUAUAAGAGGAGCAUCAAUGUUCAACUAUAAAUCUCGAGGGAAAGGAUUCCUAGGUUUCAAAUCUUCCUUUCCGGAAGGCUUGAAGUUGUCUUGUUUUUGAAGGAUUUGAUAUUGACCUGGACUCGAUGUGGAAUCACUUGCUUCAUGAUUUCAUUUACCUUGGUGACCUUGCGGAUAUAGUUACGGGUUCCUCUCUAGUUGUAUGAUCUCUAGCUCAAUGGCAAAAGCCAUUGGUUUCAAUUCUUAGUGCUUUCUUUUA